rnacentral:tRNA from 1 species
GCGGGUAUGGCGGAAUUGGCAGACGCGCUGGAUUUAGGUUCCAGUGGGUAACCGUGUGGGUUCGAGUCCCACUACCCGUACCA